rnacentral:rRNA from 1 species
CGGCGGACGGGUGAGUAACACGUGGAUAACCUACCUAUAAGACUGGGAUAACUUCGGGAAACCGGAGCUAAUACCGGAUAAUAUAUUGAACCGCAUGGUUCAAUAGUGAAAGACGGUUUUGCUGUCACUUAUAGAUGGAUCCGCGCUGCAUUAGCUAGUUGGUAAGGUAACGGCUUACCAAGGCAACGAUGCGUAGCCGACCCGAGAGGGUGAUCGGCCACACUGGAACUGAGACACGGUCCAGACUCCUACGGGAGGCAGCAGUU